rnacentral:lncRNA from 1 species
AUGGAUCUAACAGAGGAAAGGCAGACAAAGAAAAUGGUCCUUGAAAAACGUACCUCAUCCAUUGAGCGGUUGCUGGGCCUAACAACAGAACACCUUCCAGAUUUUGCCAUUCACAUGUUUAAUGUCAAGAACCAAUAUUUGUCAUUAAAAGCAAUGAAAGAUACCCUGACAGAUGAUGCUGUUGCUGUGCAUGUAGAUUACAGCGAAAAUUACAGCUGCAAAUAUGCCAAAGAAAUCAAGGAUACCCAUUUUGGAACUGGGAAUGAUCAGGUAACCCUCCACACCAGGGUACUCUAUCUCAGUAGGGGCAGAGUGGAAGCCUUUGCAUCCCUCUCAUCAUCUCUACAGCACGAUGCAGUGGCAACCAGGGCUCAUCUUGACCCAGUGCUGAGAUACAUACGAGGAAAGUAUCCUGAAGUCCACAACCUACAUUUCAUUUCAGAUGGCCCAACUUCCCAGUAUAGAAACAAAACAUCUUUCUAUCUAGCCUCCACUGUGCCCUUUAUGCAUGGAUUUGAAUGGGUGACCUGGAACUAUACUGAGGCAUCACAUGGCAAAGGUACACCAGAUGGAGUUGGUGGGGCCUUGAAGAAUCUUGCGGACAGAAUCGUUUCUUAUGGGACCAGUAUUCCUGAUGCAGACUCUCUGUAUGAGCAGCUGAAGAACAAUUCAUCAGUGACUCUGUACAAAGUAUCAGAGGAGAAAAUAAAGGCCAGCCGCGAAUUGGUUCCCCCCAACCUGAAAGCAGUUCCUGGGACACUGAAAAUACACCAACUGACAUCCACAAAACCAGGAGUCAAAAAUACACGGGAGGGGUCAUGCUUCUGUGGAAAAAAUUGCCAGUGCUUUUCUACAAAUUGCCACAUGUUCUCUGAGGGAAAAGAUGAGGACCCUGACAGAACAGAGGUCAUCAUAGAGGUUGGAGAGUGGGUCCUGGUUGAAUACGAUGGUGACUUGUUCCCUGGUACAGUCACACAGAUUGCUGAAGGGCAGUAUGAAGUCGACACCAUGAAUUGUGCAGGGGAGAACCGCUUCUACGUACCAAGCAUCAGAUUUCCAGGAGAAAGGGUCUGGUACUAUCGUCAGGACAUACGGGACAUAAUCCCAGAACCACUUCCUGUCACCUCCUCUGCUAGACAUUUCUGCAUUUUACCUGACAUAUGGGCCAAACACAAGAAAUGCUCAUGAAUGAGUUACAGUUGAGGGAAAACAUGAUUGGUACAGAGCAGUCGUUCCAGUUGUUUGUCUUAGUUGUUUGACCAACUCAUAAAUUGAGUUCUGCUAUUCAAGUUCUUCACAUGAAAUUAUUCUCAGAAAAAGGUUGUGUGGUUCAAUGUCAGGACCAAAGUGUUUUAGCUAAACUAAAUUCUUUUUACAAGAGCACAUGAUGCUGUUACAUUUAAAUGUUUCUCAGGACCACAUGAUGAUAUGUUACAUUGAAAAAGUUCUCAUCACAUGGUUGUAUGUAACUAGAAUGAUAAAAUGUAUACUAAUGGUUGUAUAAUUAUUAGUACUACAGUGUAGGGUACAUGACAUGAUUCUUAAGAAGAGCAUAAGAU